rnacentral:lncRNA from 1 species
AAUAAAUAAAUAAAUAAAUAAUUAAAAUAUAACAAAUUUUGGGUCUCCCUCAUUCCAAGCCCACAAGUCCACGAAAAUCAGCUAUAAAUAUAAGAGUUUCAGUAGGGUUUCAGACACUUGGAAAUUCCCUGAGAAAUAGACUUGGAGUUCACGUGGAGUUUCAAACCUAGGAACUACUCUGCAGCAACCUUCGGGCAGCCCUGAGAAGUUCAUUCCGCCUCGCGCAAACCCUAAACGUUACUUCGCCAAUCCGGCCUUGCCUUCCAAUUUUAACAGGUCUCUCA